UUCUGGCUCAGGAUGAACGCUAGCUACAGGCUUAACACAUGCAAGUCGAGGGGUAGCAGGGUAGCAAUACCGCUGACGACCGGCGCACGGGUGAGUAACACGUAUCCAACCUUCCCAUAACUCGGGGAUAGCCUUUCGAAAGAAAGAUUAAUACCCGAUAGUACUUAACAAAGGCAUCUUUGAUAAGUUAAAGAUUUAUUGGUUAUGGAUGGGGAUGCGUUCCAUUAGAUAGCUGGUGAGGUAACGGCUCACCAAGUCUUCGAUGGAUAGGGGUUCUGAGAGGAAGGUCCCCCACAUUGGUACUGAGACACGGACCAAACUCCUACGGGAGGCAGCAGUGAGGAAUAUUGGUCAAUGGGCGAGAGCCUGAACCAGCCAAGUAGCGUGAAAGGAUGAAGGUCCUAUGGAUUGUAAACUUCUUUUAUAGUAGAAUAAAGUGAACCACGUGUGGUUUUUUGUAUGUAUACUAUGAAUAAGGAUCGGCUAACUCCGUGCCAGCCGCAGC
rnacentral:rRNA from 1 species